GUCCUACGGGGCGCAGCAGGCGGUCUGUUAAGUCAGCGGUCAAAGCCCGGGGCUCAACCCCGGCCCGCCGUUGAAACUGGCAGUCUCGAGUUGGAGAGAAGUAUGCGGAAUGCGCGGUGUAGCGGUGAAAUGCAUAGAUAUCGCGCAGAACUCCGAUUGCGAAGGCAGCAUGCCGGCUCCACACUGACGCUGAGGCACGAAAGCGUGGGUAUCGAACAGGAUUAGAUACCCUGGUAGUCCA
rnacentral:rRNA from 1 species